GCAGCCUAGGAAGAGGGGAUUCGCCGUCGCCCUCACCAAACAGGAGAUCGCCCGGGACUUCGCCGCCGUCCGCUGCAAGCGCCCGCCGCGCCGCGGCAAGAAGCGGUCCAAAGCCCAGCAGGCCAAGAUCGACGCGCUGUGCCCGGGAUUCUUCCUCUCGACGGUGGACCUGGACAACUACAAGAUCGAUGAUAACAAUAAUAGGUGAUUCAUGGCUGCCGUGAUGAAGCUUCAGACGGGAGCAACUUCUCAAUUGCUCCCUUAUCUUUCUUCCUGUGAUGGCUAACAUGCCCUGAUGCCCAUUACUGAAUGGUGUUGGUUCUUCUGAGGUAGAGGACAGCAAAUUGGAUCUAGUUAGGUUCCUUGAGUGGUUUUGUAUACAGAUUUCCCGUUUAGAAGAGCUGCCAGAACGAUGGGAAAGUUUAUGCUUCAGAGUGCUAGCUAUGUCGGUUUGAAGUACUAGCAAAGGGGCCCGUGCGUUGCAACGGGAGAAAUAAAUCCUUGCUCGUCCUAGUCUAUGAUUCCACUUCUCUUGCUUGCCACCAUUGUCGUCCGUGCGU